rnacentral:tRNA from 1 species
ACGGCUGUGGUCAAGUGGCAAGACUCAACCCUCCCACGGUUGCAACCCGGGUUCGAAUCCCGGCAGCCGUA